rnacentral:lncRNA from 1 species
UUUUGGAGAUGGCGGCUGGGGAAGAGAGAAAGAAAAAUAUGGAUUUAGGGUUUCAUGGUUUUUAUCAUUGAGGUCCCUAUGGCUCCAUAAUUUUUUCUUUUGGGUAGACACGUUUAAAUUUUUUGCAUUUAAGUCCAAAAACAGUUUUGGGCUUUGUGAAUCCUAGCUUUAGGCCCAAUUUCAAUUGGGUUUAAUGGAUUAUAAUGCAUAGACAAAAUUGAACACA